rnacentral:rRNA from 1 species
AUUGAACGCUGGCGGCAGGCCUAACACAUGCAAGUCGAACGGCAGCACAGAAGAGCUUGCUCUUUGGGUGGCGAGUGGCGGACGGGUGAGUAAUGUCUGGGAAACUGCCCGAUGGAGGGGGAUAACUACUGGAAACGGUAGCUAAUACCGCAUAACGUCGCGAGACCAAAGUGGGGGACCUUCGGGCCUCACACCAUCGGAUGUGCCCAGAUGGGAUUAGCUAGUAGGUGGGGUAAUGGCUCACCUAGGCGACGAUCCCUAGCUGGUCUGAGAGCAUGACCAGCCACACUGGAACUGAGACACGGGCCAGACUCCUACGGGAGGCAGCAGUGGGGAAUAUUGCACAAUGGGCGCAAGCCUGAUGCAGCCAUGCCGCGUGUAUGAAGAAGGCCUUCGGGUUGUAAAGUACUUUCAGCGGGGAGGAAGGCGGUGAGGUUAAUAACCUCGCCGAUUGACGUUACCCGCAGAAGAAGCACCGGCUAACUCCGUGCCAGCAGCCGCAGUAA